rnacentral:ncRNA from 2 species
CCUCGUUCUCAGGGCAGGGCGAAAUUCCCUACCGGUGGUAAAUGUGAUAACAACAUAAGCCCACGAGCGUUUGUGUACUACACAAAGUCAGCAGAUUUGGUGAAAAUCCAAAGCCGACAGUUAUAGUCUGGAUGAAAGAGAAUUAAC